GGGGUAGAAACCACAGCCGCUGCCUAUGCGGAGGACGCCAUAUUGGAGGCAUGGAAUGCGGCCUGCCGUAAAGACGGAGGCGGGUUGUUAAGAAUGCUCUCUACUUUACGGCGUACCCGAUAACGCCCCCGAAGGGGCGGUGCUUUGGAGGUGAACCCGGGAAGGCGAGGCGAGGCGAGGCUCCUCCCACCCCUCCGCUCUGGGCCAGCGAAGGUCGCGGGUGUUAGGGAUCAGUUGUGGGGGACGAGUGGUCCCUUUGCACACAGCGUGUGGGCCGAGUCUGGAUUCAUUAGAGUCCCCGGCGCCCAGCACUGAGUCGCAUGCAUAAGUAUUGGUGUCACGAACAAGGGUCAGACCCUGGCUCGACCGCAGGGAAGGGCGUUGGGCGGAGGCACCAGUUCCUUCCGGAAGCCUUUCGUCGCUAUAGCCGCCAGCCCCUGGAAGUGGCCGUGGCCGGGCGUGAAGGCGGCUCUUGGGGCUGCUUGCCUCCUGGAGCUGGGGCCACGGCUCAGUGGUGGAACGCCUAGUUGGGGCGUGGGGCUGAGCCCUCCUGCCCUCACGGCCCAACCAGACGAAAAGUGGCGUGGUGCGGCGGAAAGGGAUCCCAAGGAAAGUCCUCGCAUCCAACUUCGAAUUACCGGCCUCGUCUCUGAGUCCUGGGAGAAACAGCGGUGCCUCCUUCCUGAGGGUGCGGAGAGGAAGAAUGAAACGGAUUCUGAAGCUUAUACCAGUAGAACUCACUUACUGGCCACUCUGCAUUCUACUGACCUUAAAAAGAGUAAGGUCAUAUUUGAUGUCCUUUUAUUUGGCUGGAAAUGCAAGCCAACCUUGGAAAAUACAAGGUCUUAACAAGGAUAGUGAUGCUGUGGGCGUUGGUAUUUCCACGAUUAGGGAAACCAUCUCAGGAGUAGCCCUGUAGUGAGGAACUGAGCCUCAUACCAACAGCCACAUGAAUGAGCCUUCUUGAAAAUGGAUUCUCUAGCUCCUUCAGAGACUGCAUCUGUGAUUGACAGCUUCACGAUUACCUCCUGAGAGACCCUAAGCCAAAAGCACCCAGAGUCCUGACCCUAGAAACUAUGUGAAAUAACAAAUAUUUAAGUUGCUAAAUUAGGUAACUUAUUAUGCUGCAGUAAAUUACUGAUACAAUUAUCUAUUAAUCUUUUUAUAAUUUAAUACAUAAAGUGAACUUGCCACUAACACAAGAACUAGAAUAUUAAUCAUAGCUUACUUCUAUCUAUGUGACCUUUCUCCAUCCCUUUCCCCUUACUUACCAAACUAAAGUUAUCUUUAUCCUGAAUUUUGUAUUUGUCAUUCCCAUCGCUUUUCAAAAAUAUAAUUUAAUAAUAUAUAUAUUCCUAAAAUAUGUCAU